UCCUUCGGGAUGCUGACGAGCGGCGGACGGGUGAGUAAUGCAUAGGAAUCUGCCCGGUAGUGGGGGAUAACCUGGGGAAACCCAGGCUAAUACCGCAUACGUCCUACGGGAGAAAGGGGGCUCCGGCUCCCGCUAUUGGAUGAGCCUAUGUCGGAUUAGCUGGUUGGUGAGGUAAUGGCUCACCAAGGCAACGAUCCGUAGCUGGUCUGAGAGGAUGAUCAGCCACAUCGGGACUGAGACACGGCCCGAACUCCUACGGGAGGCAGCAGUGGGGAAUAUUGGACAAUGGGGGCAACCCUGAUCCAGCCAUGCCGCGUGUGUGAAGAAGGCCCUCGGGUUGUAAAGCACUUUCAGCGAGGAAGAACGCCUGGCGGUUAAUACCCGCCAGGAAAGACAUCACUCGCAGAAGAAGCACCGGCUAACUCCGUGCCAGCAGCCGCGGUAAUACGGAGGGUGCAAGCGUUAAUCGGAAUUACUGGGCGUAAAGCGCGCGUAGGUGGCUUGAUAAGCCGGUUGUGAAAGC
rnacentral:rRNA from 1 species